GACGAACGCUGGCGGCGUGCUUAACACAUGCAAGUCGAACGGACAGGCCCUGCUUUUGUGGGGUGCUCGAGUGGCGAACGGGUGAGUAACACGUGAGUAACCUGCCCUUGACUUUGGGAUAACUUCAGGAAACUGGGGCUAAUACCGGAUAGGAGCUCCUGCUGCAUGGUGUGGGUUGGAAAGUUUCGGCGGUUGGGGAUGGACUCGCGGCUUAUCAGCUUGUUGGUGGGGUAGUGGCUUACCAAGGCUUUGACGGGUAGCCGGCCUGAGAGGGUGACCGGCCACAUUGGGACUGAGAUACGGCCCAGACUCCUACGGGAGGCAGAAGUGGGGAAUAUUGCACAAUGGGCGGAAGCCUGAUGCAGCAACGCCGCGUGCGGGAUGACGGGCUUCGGGUUGUAAACCGCUUUCGCCUGUGACGAAGCGUGAGUGACGGUAAUGGGUAAAGAAGCACCGGCUAACUACGUG
rnacentral:rRNA from 1 species